UGUUUAUUAACUACAAACCAUGAGGUACAUGCCAACUCUGACCAUAAAAUGUUCUAUUCUGAGGCUGUCUCUCUGUUUCUGAGGAGAAUAAGAAGUCAAAUGUCUUGAAAAUAACCAAUCCCAUCCUGAGAAAACCUUCCAGUUACUUUCUCUCCUUGGAUUUUGUUUUUUAUUAAAACAAGCUAAAGUGAAAUAAAUAAAACAAAAUGAUCUGUAAUGGUAGAGGCAAGUGGAAUGAAAGUACAUUUUCCAUUCAAAACAAUGUACACAUGAAUGUUUAAAUUCAUCAGCCUUUCACUGUGUAAUAAUGUGACAUGUUUACAGUGUUGAAGGAAAUCAGGUGUUUUCAUGCUAAAUGAAAAUAAAAUUUAUGUACUGUUAUUACCAUA
rnacentral:lncRNA from 1 species